AAGGCGAGGCUCUGCAUCUAGAUUUACUUCGUUCUCUUUCGUCUCCGCUUUUUUCCCCACAUUUCCUUGCGCCCCUGGCCCUUGGGCGACAAAAAGGGGAAGCCAGGGCUGGCCUGAGGAACGGAGAGGGCACAUGGCCUAACCACGAGUGGAGCUUCUGCUCCGCCCGAAGGGAUGCGCUGGAGCGGCCUCUUCCUUCCGUCACGGUCUUUCUUUGCCAACUAGUAGAUUUGGACAUGUACAGUGUUCAGCCGUUGUUGUGGCAUUCCAGUUCAAUUGGGAAACAGCUUGAUGUAGCGUCCCCAUAAGGUCCACAGUAAUUAAGUUUUUUUUUUUUUUUGGUGCAGUGGUGCAAUUUUGUGGCUCACUGCAACCUCCACCUCCCAGGUUCAAGUGAUCCUCACACCUCAGCCUCCCUAGUAGCUGGGAUUACAGGUGCACGCCACCACACCAGGCUAAUUUUUGUAUUUUUAGUAGAGAUGGGGUUUUACCAGGUUAGCCAGGCUGGUCUUGAACUCCUGACCUCAAGGGAUCCGCCUGCCUCAGCUUUCCAAAGUGCUGGGAUUACAGGUGGAGACUGGACCUCAGAGAGGGAGUGGGUGCCCUGAGAACUCACAGCUGGCGGACAGCGGAAAGGGCAGAACCCGGACCAAGGUGAGGACAGCGGAACUGAAGUUCUGCUGGUUACCUCUCCUGCCCUCCGCUGGCCGCACUGGAGAAGACAGCCCCUCCCUCCUGCUCUGACCUGACAGUGUUCAUCCAUCGCCCUCUAUUAGGGAAGAACAACAUCAAGCUGGCUAGCAAGGAACUGUAUACAGGGUCCAGCUGGGUAUCACACUGGAUCUCACCCAAAGCUGAGAUGUGAUCCAGCUCAGUAUCACAAAGCAGAACGAAAAGGAUGUGUUCGGGCUGAGAGG
rnacentral:antisense_RNA from 1 species